rfam:Synergistales bacterium 53_16 MPI_scaffold_266, whole genome shotgun sequence.
GGCCCAGCCCUGUGCGGCAAAGACCCGUGAACCCCGCCAGGCCCGGAAGGGAGCAACGGUAAGCGAUGAUCUUUGGGUGACACAGGAAAACUGGGCCUCC